CGGACUUGAACAGCGAGUGACCCGCGACGAAUCGCUUCCGCAAGGACACUCGUAGAGGUGCUGCAUGGCUGUCGUCAGCUCGUGUCGUGAGAUGUUGGGUUAAGUCCCGCAACGAGCGCAACCCUUGUUUGCUGUUGCCAUCAGGUAAAGCUGGGCACUCUGCAAAGACUGCCGGUGAUAAACCGGAGGAAGGUGGGGAUGACGUCAAGUCAGCAUGGCCUUUAUGUCUGGGGCUACACACGUGCUACAAUGGCCGGUACAAACCGUCGCAAAACCGUAAGGUGGAGCUAAUCGGAGAAAGCCGGUCUCAGUUCGGAUUGUAGGCUGCAACUCGCCUGCAUGAAGUUGGAAUCGCUAGUAAUCGCGGAUCAGCACGCCGCGGUGAAUACGUUCCCGGGCCUUGUACACACCGCCCGUCACAUCACGAAAGCCGGUUGUACUAGAAGUCGCCACACCAACCCGCAAGGGAGGGAGGCGCCUAAGGUAUGGUCGGUGAUUGGGGUGAAGUCGUAACAAGGUAGGCGUAGAUGA
rnacentral:rRNA from 1 species